GUCACUCCAGCCGACUCUGCCAGGUUAAGCCAAGGCAAUCAAUCAAUUCAGGUGAUGACUUCUGAAUCACUUGUUUUUGAGUUGUUGCAUACCAAGGAUGAUUAGAGUAAAGAAAAAUUUGCAGUUCGUGUGGCUAAGAGAGAAGAAUGGAAGGACGACUGCAGAAUUGACCAGCUUAAAGUAAGAGGAUAGGUUUUGUACUCUUGUUUAUUUGAUCGUCUGGAAGACGGAAGAUGCCGAUCAGACGACAGUUCAUACGGAUGGAUAUUUCAUCGGCUGCCAGUUGUGCUGUGUCAGCAACAAGCUGAUUUAUCUUUUACCUGGAUAGCUGCAUCUGAGAAGCUAGAUGGCAUUUUAAAAUUGGCACUGAU
rnacentral:lncRNA from 1 species